rnacentral:rRNA from 1 species
AAACUCAAAGGAAUUGACGGGGGCCCGCACAAGCGGCGGAGCAUGUGGAUUAAUUCGAUGCAACGCGAAGAACCUUACCUGGGCUUGACAUACACCAGAUCGCUGCAGAGAUGUAGCUUCCCUUGUGGCUGGUGUACAGGUGGUGCAUGGUUGUCGUCAGCUCGUGUCGUGAGUUGUUGGGUUAAGUCCCGCAACGAGCGCAACCCUUGUCUUAUGUUGCCAUCACGUGAUGGUGGGCACUCAUGAGAGACUGCCGGGGUCAACUCGGAGGAAG